GCCUGGGUGGCUCAGUGGUUGAGCAUCUGCCUUCAGCUCAGGUCAUGAUCCCGGGGUCCUGGGAUCGAGUCCCGCAUCAGGCU
rnacentral:tRNA from 1 species